AUUGAACGCUGGCGGCAGGCCUAACACAUGCAAGUCGAGCGAGCGGCGGACGGGUGAGUAAUGUAUGGGGACUGCCCGAUAGAGGGGGAUAACUACUGGAAACGGUGGCUAAUACCGCAUACUAUCGGAUAACCCAUAUGGGAUUAGCUAGUAGGUGGGGUAAAGGCUCACCUAGGCGACGAUCUCUAGCUGGUCUGAGAGGAUGAUCAGGCAACACGGGAAUGGGAAACGGCCCAGGAUCCAAGGGAGGGCGCCGUGGGGAAUAUUGCACAAUUGGCGCAAGCCCGAUGCAGCCAAGCCGAGUGUAAGAAGAAGGCCUUAGGGUUGUAAAGGACUUUCAGCGGGGAGGAGUUACCCGCAGAAGAAGCACCGGCUAACUCCGUGCCAGCCGCCGCGGUAAUUC
rnacentral:rRNA from 1 species